CACCUGUUCCCAUGCCGAACACAGAAGUUAAGCUCCUUAGCGCCGAUGGUAGUUGGACUGACGUUCCGCUAGAGUAGGACGUUGCCAGGC
rnacentral:rRNA from 1 species